rnacentral:rRNA from 1 species
GAUGAACGCUGGCGGCGUGCCUAAUACAUGCAAGUCGAGCGAACAGACGCGGAGCUUGCUCCUUUGACGUUAGCGGCGGACGGGUGAGUAACACGUGUGUAACCUACCUAUAAGACUGGGAUAACUUCGGGAAACCGGAGCUAAUACCGGAUAAUAUUUCGAACCGCAUGGUUCGAUAGUGAAAGAUGGCUUUGCUAUCACUUAUAGAUGGACCUGCGCCGUAUUAGCUAGUUGGUAAGGUAACGGCUUACCAAGGCAACGAUACGUAGCCGACCUGAGAGGGUGAUCGGCCACACUGGAACUGAGACACGGUCCAGACUCCUAGGGGAGGCAGCAGUAGGGAAUCUUCCGCAAUGGGCGAAAGCCUGACGGAGCAACGCCGCGUGAGUGAUGAAGGUCUUCGGAUCGUAAAACUCUGUUAUGAGGGAAGAACAAACGUGUAAGUAACUGUGUACGUCUUGACGGUACCUAAUCAGAAAGCCACGGCUAACUACGUG